CCCUAUUAUUUUUAAAAAAAUUUAGGUAGUAAAAUUUUACUAAAACCUAUUUACAUUGACAGUUUUCAUUAUCUAGAGGAACAUGUAUAAUAAUCGACAUCCCACGAUAAUUUUAACUUUAAUUAAAAAUUUAUAUAUCGCCAUUCAUAAGAAUUUAUAUAAAAAUAUAUUCAAAGAUAUCUUAAUUAAAAUUUUAGGUCAAGGUGUAAUCAAUAUUUAAGUUAAUAUGUGUUACAUUAAAAAUAAUUUAAGAAACAAUUUUAAUAAAAUUUGAGAAAAAGGAUUUAGAAGUAUUAUUUUAAUAAUAAUUAAAUUUGAAUUUCCCAGAAAAUGUACACAU
rnacentral:rRNA from 1 species